GACGAACGCUGGCGGCGUGCUUAACACAUGCAAGUCGAACGGAGUGGCGAACGGGUGAGUAACACGUGGGUGACCUGCCCUGCACUUCGGGAUAAGCCUGGGAAACUGGGUCUAAUACCGGAUAGUGUGGGAUGGGCCCGCGGCCUAUCAGCUUGUUGGUGGGGUAAUGGCCUACCAAGGCGGCGACGGGUAGCCGGCCUGAGAGGGUGGACGGCCACAUUGGGACUGAGACACGGCCCAGACUCCUACGGGAGGCAGCAGUGGGGAAUAUUGCACAAUGGGCGGAAGCCUGAUGCAGCGACGCCGCGUGGGGGAUGACGGCCUUCGGGUUGUAAAGCACUGUUAUCAGAGAAGGAGUAACUGUUAUAGGUUUGACGGUAACUGAUCAGAAAGCCACGGCUAACUACGUGCCAGCAGCCGCGGUAAUUC
rnacentral:rRNA from 1 species